CAUUCAUUUAAACACAAAAUUUCAGCAAACCAAAGGUGAAAUCCGUAGCUCUUCAUUUCCAAAUUCUCCAAAAUUUCAAAUCUUCAUAUCUUUUUCGUUUCUCAACGAAAUUGAGCGAUUCUUGCGGCCACGGAACGAGGAAGUGAUUAUCUACAACUCUAUGGCAUCAAUUUAAGUGUAAUUGUAAGCUUGUAAUGAAGGUUAUGGAUGAUGAAAUUGGAGCUUUAAACCUACGGCAAUAGAGACAUCAUCAAGACUCGACGAAGCGACUAUCGACAAGGCUCGAAGGGAACGGAUCGAGAUGUCUUCGUGUUUAUUUGAAGAAUUUGGAUAGCAAGUGGGAUGGUAUGAUAUGAUUUGAAGAGUUAAGCUUCCGAAGUUUUAAUUCUCGGAAGUCAUUUGUAUAAGAAGAAAAAGAAGGUUUUCAUUCUAGCAGUCCGCAGUAGUCUAGAUAUUUUAACUAGAAUUUUGUAUAACGCGUUUUUAACUCUGAUAUUAUUUGUAAAUGGUGUCACAUGUAUUUUAAUAUAUGAAAUAUGUUUUGAUUUGCGAA